GCUUGGAUAGCUCAGUUGGUAGAGCACUUCCCUGAAGAGGAAGGGGUCCCCAGUUCGAACCUGGGUCCAAGCACCA
rnacentral:tRNA from 1 species